rnacentral:lncRNA from 1 species
UGCAGGUUUAUUGUGAAACAGUUGCAGUGUCAAUGAGAAGCUAGCAGUAAACCACAUACCACAAGCGUUCAGUGUUAUCUGAGGAAGAUGCAGUGUCCUAGCGCAUACCUCUGACGGAGCUGACCUGUGUCUUUCCUGGGCAUGGAGGUGCCAUAUGUCCUUCUCUUAACUAGACUCGUAGCAGAAGUUACCAGCAAAUCUACUGAAAGUUUGGUUUCGGAAACAGAAUGCUGUGUGGAUAUGUUGGAUUCAAACAGUUCCUGUCCAGUAACGAACCAGUGCAGUCCAGGUAUAGUGUGUCAUUGUUUAAUAAAAUUCCAGAUU